UCAUGGGGUAAAGUAAUUCCCGCGGCUCUUGUGGUGGCCGUACAUAAUCAAGUGAGAAAUAAGGGUUUAUAAAAGAACGAAAAAAUGCAGCCACCUCCAAGAAAGGUUAAGGCUGCUACAAAUCUACGAAAUAUUCACAAUGAACAAAUCACAAAACUUCAAGCUAAGCACCAGCAAGAUUUGGAUUUAUUGGAUGAUAUGAGGAAUUUUAUGAAGUCAAGAGCAAAUAUAGAGAAAGAAUAUGGUCAAGUAAGCCCAA